rnacentral:lncRNA from 1 species
CAGGGCCUAUGCUGUUUUCCCAGGAUAUGUGAUGGUCUUUUAAAUGCAAUAAUCCAGGGUAGGGAUUUAGAACAGCUCUUGGCUCACGGAGCACACGAAUACUAGCUGUUAUUAUCACAUUUCCCCCCGUUUCUUCAUGAGUAACAGACCAAAGAAACUGGAUCUAGAUGAAAGCUACAAGCCAUACAAGAUUCAAACAUAGGUAAUAUCCACAGAACCAGUUGCCACCAGUGGAGACCACAGAGACCACAGGGUAGCUUGGACCAAAAUGCUCUUGAAGGCCAAAUGCUGAAGCCAGAGACCACAAACGAACAGAAUUAAACAGGUUUGUAUUGGGCACUGGUUUCAAAGAGUUCGGAGGGUUUACCGCCCAACUCCUCAUCAAUCUUAACCACAUUCAAGUUGGAGAGGAAAACGAACAUAGUGUGAAGACCUCUUUCAUAGGAAGGCAGUUUGCAGAGAUGAAACUAAUCACUCAAAACCAGUGGUCAGGACCAAUUUCCUUAGUAAGAAUAUACUGAUCUACUGGCGGAGGAUAAGAGUAUCACCAUUAAUUAAGAUGAAACAACCAUAAUACCCCUCACUAAAGCACCCACGGCAGGUAAACAGCCUUGUAAAUUGCCCCCUUGGGAGUGCUGGCCGUACCAGGUGCUUGCCUACUGGCAAGAAAUUAAGGAAAUCCAGACAGAGUCCGCCCUGCUGCUACCCAUUUCCUCUCGAACCUGGCAACUAGAAAGAGUCAUUCUGUUUUUUGCUACACAGGGACAAAUGAGAAUUAAUGAGUAGAAGUUGCAUGAAGGUAGAUUUUGGUUCAAGAUACAAGACAGAAUUUAAAAAACCUAGAGGUACCCAACAAUGAUGGUGUUACUGGUGUCACAGUUUUCAUUGGCAGUGUGAUCAUCACCUUAUUCUAUCAGGUGGAGAUGAGCAUUGAUUACAGUUGACACGGUUCUUCCAAGAGAGGCCCAGAAAUAGAUGAGAAUUGUUCUUAAGUCAAACUUGAGUCUGAAUCCCAAUGCUGUAGUUUCCUAGUUAUGAGACAUAGAGUUGGUUACUAAGCCUCUCUAAGCCUGAGUUUCUUCAUCCGUAAAAGAGAGACUGUUAUAACUACCUCUCUCCUGUUUAUUGAUUCAUUCAGCAGAUACUUAAAAGACAUCUACUGUGGGCCAGGCACUUGCCUAGGUGUUGAGGAUGUGGGGGUGAACAACACAGAUGAGGUCUCCAGUCUCAUGGAGUUCAUAUUUCCAUGUGUUUGAGAGGAAGAGAAAAGGUCCAAGGAGACAUAAAUAUAAUGAACUAACAAAUGCCUAAAUACUUACUGAGCUAGUAAUAAAUGCUGUGAGUUAAAUGAGACAGGCUGUCCAGGAUAUCGUUAUGAGGAGAGGCAAAGAAGUCUUCUCUUAGAAGGGGACAUACAUGCUGGAACCUAAAGGAGGAGACAGGGCCAACUCUGAGAAGCUCUAUCAGACGGAAUAGCAAGGGCCCUGUGGUUCCACCGAGCUGGACUCAUGUCUGGCGUAGGUUCGGGUUAGCGGUUCAAGAUGAGGUUGGUGGUAAGAAUUAAAGGAGGUAACGUGGGGAGUUCCUGCUGUGGUGCGACAAGAUUGGUGGCAUCUUGGGAGUGGUGGGACACAGGUUCA